UUUAAAAACCACAGAAUUGGAAAGAAUGGAAAGCUGCCCUGCUUUCCACGGGGUGGAUCUCUCUCUCCCAUUUAUCUCUCUCCCUCCUAUUUCAAAACCAGAGUUGGAACAACAAGCAUCCUAGCUUUCCAAGGGUUGCUCCGAACCCCACGACGUUUCUUCCUAACUUCUCAGGAUAGCCGAGGACAAAAGAGCCAGUGUUACCCUGGUACUUCUAUGCAUGAUCACCAAGAAGCAUGGAUAGAAAGGGCUUUGCAGCCUUUUAGCCAAAAUCGUCCUCCUCUUAUCACACAGCAUUCUGGAACAGAAGAAAAGAAGAAAGCUAAAAGCUCUAUUAAAUCGAGAGCCUUUCUCUGAUACCUCACUACUCAGGGUGAGUAGCGAACCAACAACCUCGGCAUGGGCUGUCAACCCCAUUAGCAGAAGCUCAGCUUUCCUCUGUCAGGACUUCCAUUGUGAUACGUAUGUUUUGGCCUUUAUUCACACAGAUACUUGGUUUAUAAGCCCUUUCUAAAGGGCAACUGUAGAAAUUAAUUUCUCUUCUCCAAGGGAGGUCACAGAAACCCUUAAUCUGCCCCUGCACUCUUUCGUGCAUCUGGCCUUAAAAGAGCUCUGACCUGUCUAUUCUUGUCCAAUAGCAGAUCAAAACAAACAAACAAAAAAGCCUCCCUCAUUCUGGACGGGGCCUGCCCCAUCUCUGGAGAAAGGAAUAUUGCUCAGGGAGGCCAUGAAGAAUAGUAGCAUAGACAAGCCAGUCUACUAGUAACCAUGACCAUGAAAGAGGGCUCCAUAAAAACCCGAAGGGCAGGGCAUAGCUUUUGGAUGGUUGAACAUAUGGAGGAGGUGUUAGGCUUAGAAAAUGCAAAGGGUUUCACAUGCCUCUCCCCAAAUUUACUCCGUCGUCUUAUCCUAUAAAGCAGUGGUUCUCAACCUAUGGGUCGAGACCUUACAGGGGUUUCAUAUCAGAUAUUUACAUCAGAUAUUUACAUUGUGAUUCAUAGCAAUAGCAAAAUUACAGUUAUGAAGUAGCAACAAAAAUAACUUUAUGGUUGGAAGUCACCACAACGUAAGGAACUAUAUCAAAGGAUCUCAGCAUUAGGACGGUUGAGAACCAUUGAUAUAGAGAAUCCAUUAAUGACUGGUAUUUCCCUGAGUUGUACCAAAUUAACUGAACCUGAGGAGACAGGUGUGGGAACCUUAAUUUAUAGAAGUUGAGUCAGAAGUUCAGGUAAAACAAAUCUGGGAUGGGAGGGGGCACACAUGUAAUCCCACAAGUCUGGAGGCUAAGGCAGGAUCAUAAAUUCCAGGAUAACUUGAGCUACAUAAAGAUCCUGUCUCUAAAACAAAACCAGAUAACCAACUGUCUUAGUUAGGGUUUUACUGCUGUGAAUAGACACCAUGACCAAAACAAGUCUUACAGAGGACAACAUUUAAUAGGGGCUGGCUUACAGGUUGAGAGAUCCAGUCCAUUAUCAAGAUGGGAACACGGCAGCAUCCAGGUAGGCAUGGUGCAGGAGCUGAGAGUUCUACAUCUUCAUCUGAAGGCUGCUAGCAGAACACUCACUUCCAGGCAGCUAGGACUAGGAUAUUAAAGCCCACACCCACGGUGACACACCUAGUCCAACAAGGGCACACCUCCCUAGGCCAAGCAUAUACAAACCAUCACACUAACCUAGGGUUGCAAGCUGGCUUCUGAUUGAAGGCAGGGUAUCAAAAGGACUGAGUUUCUAUGCUGUUGUACUGGACACAGCCAGGAAUACAGCUCUGGACAGAAUUGGAUCAGAGAGCACCCAGCUGGUUCCCUCUGUAGUGGUAUCAAUUGCUUGUCUGCUUGUGGAACAAAGUCCCCACACAUUUGAGGUCAUAGAAGCCUAUAUACAUUGAGGGCGGAGGAAAAUGGGCAGCUUGUUUUUCUUAGACACAUCCAGUGACUAGUUUACACAUUAGCAUUGUUCUUUAAAAUUUAUUGUGAAUGAAUUAUGAACCAACAGACGCUUGAAAAUAGUUCAAGUGAGUUUGGGAUGGCUGGAAAUAUGGGGUUGGGGGCAGACUGGAGAAUUUCAAUGUGACUAGAUGGUUUAAAAGGACCAAAGUAAAGAGAAGCUGGACAAUGGCCAAUGUCAUCAUAUGCCAUCACUCCAAAAGUUCCCAGCAUCAUGAAGUAAGUCACUCUGGAGAACGGAAGAGGACACCCUAGAACUGUCUGAAGAAAACAGAAGCGCCUGAACCUAAGCGUUCUGCCAAAGAGAUGAGGCUGCUAAAGAGAGAUUACAUAACAUUCCAGAGAAUAAGGAGUUAAAUAUUAAGCCAGGUGCGGUGGCACACGCCUGAAUUCCCAGCCACUGGGGAGGCUGAAGCUGGAGAAUACCUGAGUUCGAGGCCAGCCUAGGUGAUAUAGCAAGAGCUUGUGAUUAAGGCCCUAGCAUUUCUUUAAAAAAAAAAAAGAAAGAAAGAAAGAAAGAAAGAAAGAAAGGAAGAAAGAAAGGAAGAAAAGAAAAGGAAAGAAAAGAGAAAAAGGAGGGUGGGGGCAGAGCGUAUGACCAAAUGCUGACUUGUAGGAGUUUCGACAAGAAAGUGUAGAGACAGGUGAAAUAACAGACAGGAAGCCUUCAUGGUUUAAACCCAGGUCAGGUUUAUGUAUGUGCAUCCAGGGUUCAGGCUCAGGCACAGUCUAGUCUGAACCUGCCUUAAGUUCAUAUACUCAAAGGUCUCUGAGCCAGGUCUCUUGGCCCGUGCUAGGAGUGGACAGAAAACUUCUUUCAUGGGAAAGCAGGCACUCUCACAUCGAGUGGAUUCGAUAGGGAUGUGUAGGAACAGUAACACCAAGUAUUCUGAGACAUACACAUGCUCUUUUAGUUUACAGGCAACAUGCAGUGUGCCAACCACAAUCAGUCACAGGCGGUGGUUAAGUCACAGCUCCCAGGCAACCUGAAUGCAGACAGAACCCUUUGCUCAAGGAGACUGGUAGUCCCUGGCUGUCUACCUAUCAGUCACAUGUCAUGGAGGUGGGGGAGAACAGGUAACUUGGUUGCUUUUAGACCAAGAUCAAAUGCUUAGAAACCUUAGAGGGAAGGUGAGUUAUGCAAGUACUGGGAGAGCCACGAGGAAAACAGUAAGGAACAAAUGGACAAGAAAUGCAUCUCUGGUCUGACAUUAGCACAUUCCAUCCAGUCAGUUGCCAGGCAACUGAAUUUGGCUGGAGAGGAGAGAUUAUUAUUGAUGCUGACUUCCAGGUUUACUUAAAGCUUGGGUAAGAUUUAUGAGAUGCAUCGUUGCGUAUUCUAGCAAGGACUGAGAGCCACUUCCACAGUUCUAUAAGAGGGGGAUGUAGAGGAUAGGACCUAGAAUUGCCUAAAGGACCAACCUCUGGGCAUGUCUGUAAGGAAGUUUCAUUAGAUGAACUUAGGUUUGGAACAUCCAUCCUGGGAGCUAAUGAAAGACCAGCGGGGGAAACUGGACUGUCCUCCUUCCUUUCGCUCUGUUCCACGUACAGAACACUCAUGACCCUUUUGGCCUAACACCUUAUUAGAUUAUGUAUGAGAACCCCCCCCCCACUGAAUUGGGCAGGGCCCUACCCUGAGGUUUUUCCUAAAACCCUGUUUGCCCAUUUAAAAGCUUCCAAAGUGGAAUUUGGAGCCAAGUGAAGGACACCUACAAGACGGGAAGUCCAGUGCGCCUCACCAGUUCCCAGCGAGAGACACAGUCCUGGUCCAGCAACACCAGGCUAAAAAUUUAGAAGCUUCAUCUCUGUUGUAAGCGCUUAUAACCCCCAUAUCCCCCAGAAACUGAUUUGGCAAGUCUCCUCCCAGGCCAGGGAGGUAAUAUGGUCCAUCUCCAAGGUGACCCACCAUACACAUAGUGGCCCACUCUCACCCCUGACUUUUGUAAGUUGGUAGCUGGGCUGGACACCUAGACAUUCCUGACACAGAUUCUCAGAGUAUGCCCCUAGAAGUCCCAAAGAGAUUUCACCUGGGGGCAAGUUCGGAUGUGGAAGUCCAAAAGCAAGAUGCCAGUUGGGGAGACUGGGGUUUUACGUUUGCCCCCGAGAUGGCCGAGACCAGGCUGCCGUCUAGUGUUGUGGGGGCUUAGAAAGUUUAUACUGUUCUGCUUGGGGAUGUGAGACUAAUUUCCACACUCCUAGGACCCUUAGUUAUUCUCUUGUUACUUUUGAUGUUUGGACCCUGUAUUUUUAAUAAGUUAAUAGCCUUUAUUAGAGAAAGAGUUAGUGCAGUGCAGAUUUUAAUGCUUCACCAACAAUAUCAUGCCUCAGACGACCUUAGAAGAAAAAUUGAAGAAAAAGGCCCCGAGUUCUAAGAUUAGAACUAGUCACAAGCAGAAGUGGGGAAUGAAAGAAAAAAGAUUUUAAACUGUCCCCCACUGACCCUUCUGUGAGGACAAGUGCACCUCACAGCAAAGAAUAACAUAACAUGUUUUGGGGAUGUAGCCUGGCUAUAGCCACCACAAACCAUCUGGCCUCGAUAAGGCCUGACUCAACAGUCCUGAGAAAAACGAGAAUUAGGGUCAGCUUGCCCCAGAAGCAGGGUGGCCUAGAGUUGAACUGAGCCUAAGUUACAAACCAAUGAAAUUACUUUGUGUGACUGUUGCCAACUGCCUAUGUAAUUUUCCCUAUAAAUCCCUUCCCUUAAUUGGGCUCAGGGUCGACUCCUCUGUCUCCUGUGUGAGAUACGUGUUGUCCCCAAGGCUCUGGUUUCUCAAAUACACCUCUUGUUCAUUACAUCAAGACCGGUUUCUCGUGAGUUCUUGGGGGUUACGUCAUCUCAAGAUUUGAGUGGGGGUCUUCCCCACCCCACUGGUCUUUCACUAGUAGGGUCCCAAACUGAAGAAACUAGAGGAAGGAAGCCAGCUGAGUGUCAGCUUUUAUCAGCUUCCUGACUGUGCAUGCAAUGUGACCUGCCAACUCACAUUCUGGCUGCCAUCCUCCCUCCAUCUGGCCAGAACAAGCCCUUUCUUCCUUAUGUUGAUCUGGUCAAGUGUCUUGUUCCAGCAAGGGACACAAUAACUAAUACAGGAAAGUUGUGCUGUGAGCAACAGGCUAAUCAAAUAGCUCUGGUUGACUGUGUCUGUUCAGAAAACCCAAGGUGUUACCAAAGGAUGAUCAGAUGGACUACCUUAUCAGUCUUCCUGAAACUGAAAAGAGGGCAGGCAGUGUAAUGGAAGAAGGCUGCUCCUGCCAAGCCUGACCAUACCUCACAAACAAGCCUGGAUACUCCUGCCUAGCUUUCCUGUCAUGUUCUGCCCUUGGUGUUUGUUUUUCUGUGGUUCCUUACAAGCUAUCCCUCCCAGCCCCUGUCAGAAGUCUAUAAAUGGCAAAGAUCUCUCUCCCAUCCUGUAGCCUGCUUGCUAUGCGUACAGUGGAACUUUUUACUGUGGAACUUUUUAAUUUCCUGUAGUGUCCUUUGUUAACUCAAGAGCUCAAGAAGCAAGGACUGGAAAUGUUCUGGUAUUCAAGAAAAGAUGGCAGACAGGCUGCGUGCCUCUAACCCAAAAGAGAAGGAGGCCAGGGAGACUAGAGAGCAUAAGAAAGCAUGACCUCACUCACCAGCUCCUUCCUCACCACAAGACCCGGUUAAAAUUAGGACCAUUGUAAUACUAAUUGUACAAGGAAAUCCAGCAGGGCUUCCAGUGAAUCAGAACCACUUGGCAACUAGCCAGGGACUUAGUCAGUUCACAAAUAUGAAUAUUCAUUGGAACCUAUAGUGAAAGGCAAGGGAGUCAUCACAGGGAAGAGAGACAGUGAGUCAGACCUCAAUCCUGCCCUCCAGGGGCACAAAAGCCAGAAAAUACAAACUGGGAUCGGAGGGUAAAAUAAAAUGCCAAGAAGUGGUAAGACUUCCAGGCAUGUUCACAAGAGGAAGAGGACUGCAGGCUACAGAGACAGAAUGGCCUCCUGGGCUGGAAAAUAUCGGGCACUAUACGGAAGGUAAGAAUAAAAGUGCGGGAGUAGGCUUUCCGGAACUAACUGGACAGGACAGGUUUGGAGAAGAUGGCCCACAGGGAGUGGGAAGAUGGGGGAGGAGAUGAGAGGAGUGGAGUGAUGGGGGAGGGGAGGGGAGGAGAGGAGAGGCAAGGCGAGACGAGACAUGAUUUAGGAAAAUGACAGCUUGAGUUUUAUCCCUUCUAGUCAUAAAAGUUUGUUUCUAGGAAAAAAAAAUACAGGGGACUGAAAUGAUGACUCCAUGGUUAAGAGCAUUGACUGUUCUUCCAGAGGCCCUGGGUUCUGUUCCCAAUAGAUACUGCACCUAACUUAAGUUGCAGAGGCUCUAACACCCUCUUCGGGAUGUCUCAGGUGCCUGCACACAUGAGGUGCAAAUACAGACAAGUGGGAACACAGACAUGAAACAUAUCUUUAAAACAAUUUUUAAAAAAAAUUUGCCAAGAAUAAUAUCAAGUACAGAAAAAUUCUGUGGUAGUUUGAAUAAGAAUGUUGUCCACUACCACACUCCUAUAUUUGAAUGUUUGGUCAUCAGGGAGUUUAACUAUUUGAGAAAGAUUAGGAGGUGUGGCCCUAUUGGAGGAAGAAGGUUACUGGGGGUAGGGUUUUGAGGUUUUAAAAGCUGGAGCCAGGUCAAGCCUCUCUCUCUCUCACUUCCUGCAUUUGGAUUCCUGAUGUAGAACCUCAUCCUCUCCUCCAGUCACGUGUCUGCCUGCAUGCUGCCAUGCUCCUUACCAUGUUGGUGGCGAGCUUAACCUCUGAAAUGUAAGCAAACCCAAAUUAAAUGCUUUCCUUUAUAAGAGUUGCCAUGGUUAUGGUGUCUCUUCACACAGAGAGAACACUGAUUAAGACAAAUCCCAAGACUGGAAAUGCCUGUGUAUAAAUUGAAACCUGAUGCCUAAUCAAAAACCUCCCCACGAAUCAUGAAUGUCACUUACUGCACAGCAGUUUUUAAAAAGCAUGUAUUAGCAACUUAAUGUCCUGUACAUGAAUCUAAACAAGAAGUUUUCGAUGGAAUAUUACACACAACAUGGGUAGACUUACACAAUAUUGACAUAAACUAGUCAUAAAAGACUGUAUACAUAGUGUGGUUACAUUUAUAUGAAAUGUCCAAGGCACGUAUAUAUAUAGAGAAAGUGGGUCAGUGGUUACCCAGUUCUCUAGCAGUUUCUUUAUAGAUUGAAGUUUCUUUUUUUUUUUUUUUCCUUUUCUUUUUUUCAGAGCUGGGGACCGAGCCCAGGGCCUUGUGCUUGCUAGGCAAGCGCUCUACCACUGAGCUAAAUCCCCAACCCACAGAUUGAAGUUUCUUAAGCCAGAAAGUAAACACCUCAAAAUAGCUUCAGGAAGUCCCUAAAACCAACAAGAUUCACUACCCCCCUACCCCCAAUGUAAGCAGUCAAGAUUGCAGACAGUCAUUCUCAGACAAGACAAGAUGCAAAGAAGACUCUGAGACCAGACCUGCUGCCUGGAUUGGAAAACGCAGAGACCAGACAAGCUGCCUGAAACAGGCCAACUGGGGUAGGUGCCUGGAAAGGACAGCCUCCAACCUGUUGAGCUGCCUGCAGGCUAUGCAGUAUGCUCUAGGUUCUCGGCAUUUGUGAGCUGUCACCCAAGGUGGGGGAUGGGUUUUGGUAAUACAGCUGUCUUUGAGUCAUUUCUGUUCCUGUAAGGAACCCCUCAUCCACAUUCCAGUUAGAAACCCCAAUAAAAGCCAUUAGUUCAUCAA